UCAGCGGCGAUGUGCACCGGCUCCCGACGGCUCGGGGGGCGGCGGGGUCGUCCAGGUCCCCGAGGCUUGACCUUAGCCGGGGCAGUCUCCCCUACACCCAGGCUUGGGCCAUAGGACCUCCUGCUAGCGCACUCCCUCUCCCAGGCAAGUCGCCGAGUCCCUGCGGGCGGAAGCGGGACGCGCCCGCGCUUCGCGCCCUUUCGCCUGCGCCGCCUCUCAGGUGUCAGAGCUUCGGCGGGGGCCGCGCCCCCGGAGCUGCUGCUCAGGCUUUUCCGAAGAGGCGGGGCGGGGGGGCCUCUCACUACCCCACACUCCACAUCCUGGGAAUCCCCGGCAUCCGCCCCCCGACCUAGGCAAGGGUUACCCCAGAAACGAUCCUGGGUCCAGGGCUGCCCUGACUACUGGGGGAGAAGAAGGGGAAGCGGCAGGCUAGUGACCGAGCCGGCGCACCCAGCACCUGGCGGCGGGGGGGGUGUUCCUGCUCUGUGAGGCUUUUCCUCUCUGGUGUCACUGACAAACCCCAUCGGCCUCCGGGCUUGUGAACCCCUGCAGGUCGCCACAGCUUCCCUGCCUUGUCCCAGCAGAUUGUGCGGCAGAGCAGGCGCGCGGCCACAGCUCUCCCCGCCCCGCCGCGCCGACCCGGCCUUCUGGGCAGGCCCCAGACGCCCGAGGCCGGGGGCGCCCCUCGCCUCUUCCUCGGCCUCAAGGACACUUGCGAAACGUGGAUCUAAAGCAAGUCCUUCGCGCUGACCACGGACAGUUAUUCAAGCUGCACGUUGCCGCGGCUCCGGCUCUCACUGUCGCUCAGCAGGUCGUCCUCCGAGUCCUCGAGCAGCGACGAGGAGCCAGUGGAGGAGACCGACGAGGUGGAAAGGCGGCGCGGCUGCUGCAGGAGCUCAGGGCUUGGAGUCCGCCGUGUGGCGUUCAGCAAGUCAUUUCACCUCCCUCGACUGCGGAUUCUCCCGUUGCUGCGAGAAUAAAAUAAAAUAUUUGAAAACAGGUACACCACA